UCCGUUAAGAAUACAGCAUUCCUCAAAUCAUUCCGUCAGAGGUGCGUCCCUCCCAUCAUUCACGUAGUAGAGUUUGAGCAAACUCUCUUCGACUCUUCCAUGUUCCUUCCACUUCCUGACUGGGCUGAAAGUUUCGCGUUCAACAACUUCAGGGCUUCAAACGGGAUCCUGGCGCUACAUUAUGCGAGGCAGUGGAUGGGGACAAAGCUACAGAGAACUCUAUCGCUGGUACGUAUACUUAAACCCUCACAUCAGAACGACGUAACAAAAUCAACUUAAAUCACGAGCAAUUCCCCUGAUGCGCCAUAUGUUUUUGUUUUCACCAAGUUAGGAUAUGAGAUCAACCAGUCCAGGAUGAUUCUUUUUUAUGAAGUUUUGGGAUUAGCCAAGAACAUCUGGCAACUCCCUGCAAAAUUCAAGAUUUGCCAGACUGAUUGUUGACAGGUGGGCCAAGAAAUUUGGCAAGAUUAUCGCUAUCAGCAAUUCAGCAUGGACGCAAUCAACAAGUCCGAAGGGGGGCGGGGCAUCUGCAAAGGACUUGCGAGGCGAACCACGGUGAUUCCAUUAUAUAUCAAAAAAGUUACAAGAGACUCGUAUUUUUUCCUGAGAAACUAUUUGCAGGUUAUGUAAUAUGAGUCUAAUGUAUUUUUUUCGUAUGCUUAGAGUGCGUUUUGUAUCGUGGUACGGAUUUAAUUCUAUUCUUAGGUUUGGACUCGCUAAAGUAUUGGACUGUAAUGGUCAAUUCCAUCUGGGAGGAUUUUGGAACCAUGACGAUGAUUGCAUGCGUAUUUUAAUUUCAGUUAGCAUGAAAAAAA
rnacentral:lncRNA from 1 species